rnacentral:rRNA from 1 species
UACGUAGGGUGCAAGCGUUGUCCGGAAUUAUUGGGCGUAAAGAGCGUGUAGGCGGCCCGGUUAGUCCGCUGUGAAAGUCCAGGGCUCAACCCUGGAAUGACCGGUGGAUACUGUCGGGCUAGAGUCCGGAAGGGGCGAGUGGAAUUCCUGGGUGUAGCGGUGAAAUGCGCAGAUAUCAAGGAGGAACACCGGUGGCGAAGGCGGGUCUCUGGGCCGAAUACUGACGCUGAGGAGCGAAAGCGUGGGGAGC